UACAGAGGUCUCAAGCGUUGUUCGGAUUCAUUGGGCGUAAAGGGUGCGUAGGCGGCGCGGAAGUCGGGUGUGAAAUCUCCGGGCUUAACUCGGAAAGGUCAACUGAUACUGUGCGACUAGAGUGCGGAAGGGGCAACUGGAAUUCUCGGUGUAGCGGUGAAAUGCGUAGAUAUCGAGAGGAAUACCUGCGGCGAAGGCGGGUUGCUGGGCCGACACUGACGCUGAUGCGCGAAAGCCAGGGGAGCGA
rnacentral:rRNA from 1 species